GAACAAACAAUCUGAUUCAUUUUCUAGCCCCUAUAGCUUCAUCUUCUUAAAUAUCUUUUGCUCUACUAUAUAUCUUAAGAUAAGAAUAGGAAUAAAGUUUCUACUUUUUAUUGCAUCUUCUUCUUUCUUGAUAUUAUUGAACUGAAAAUGGCUGUGGCUAUGGUUUCUUGUGGAAUCCCCACUAGUUUAAAACUUAUAGAGAAGCAACCCGUUUCAAUUCCAGGCUUCUUUAAUGGGUCUUUAGCUUUGAAUCCAGUCCAAAAACUGCACGUUACACCCAAGAGAUUAGCUUUAUCUGGGAGUACAAUUGUUCUGAAAGCAUCGGCUACAGCUGUGGAGGAUGGAAGUUCACAAGAGACUGCUGCAGUUCCAACACCCAAAGUUGUAAUUGAUUUGGAUUCAGAUCCAGAAGCAACGAUUGUAGAGGUUACCUUUGGGGAUCGCCUUGGGGCACUUCUCGACACGAUGAAUGCAUUAAAAAACCUUGGGCUGAAUGUUGUCAAGGCUAAUGUCUGUCUUGAUUCAUCUGGGAAGCAUAACACAUUCGCCAUCACAAAAGCUUCUACGGGUAGGAAGGUCGAUGAUCCAGAGCUGCUUGAAGCAAUUCGUUUGACGAUCAUCAAUAAUAUGAUGGAAUACCACCCGGAAUCUAGCUCCAGAUUAGCUAUGGGAGAAGCUUUCGGUGUUUUUCAACCAUAUCAGAAGAUUGACGUGGACAUAGCGACCCAUAUCCAUGUUUAUGACGAUGCUCCUGAAAGAAGUUUACUCUGUGUAGAGACAGCAGACAGACCUGGACUGAUAGUUGAUCUUGUCAAGACCAUUACUGACAUAAAUGUUGAUGUUGAAUCAGGAGAGUUCGAUACUGAGGGUUUGCUUGCUAAGGCGAAAUUUCAUGUCAACUACAAGGGCAAAGCGUUGAUCAAGCCCCUUCAACAGGUUCUUGCGAAUAGCCUGCGUUAUUUCUUGAGGAGACCAACAACAGAGGAUGCAAGUUUUUAAUACAAUGCUGAAAAGUGAGAAAUUGUCAACAGGGUUAACCAAGUACUUUCAAUUUUCAAGAUAAUGAAGCUUGCUGGUUUUAGCAGCACCGAUCCAUUCCAAGGUGUAAACAGCGAAAAUAUGCUUGAAACUCAGAAUCAUAGCUUCAAUACUGCUGUAACAAUGUAGAUUGGUACCAUUUAUACAUUAAUGAUAUAAGUUUUCAGAACAGGAAAACAAA
rnacentral:misc_RNA from 1 species